GAGUUCCGGCCCUUCGGGGUCGAUCUCCCACCCUUUGCUAUACCUUACCUUUUGUUGCUUUGGCGGGCCGCCAUUCGGCCGUCGGCUCCGGCCGGCGCGCGCCCGCCAGAGACACCUAAACCCUGUAUUACAGUGUCGUCCGAGUACUAUAUAAUAGUUAAAACUUUCAACAACGGAUCUCUUGGUUCU
rnacentral:misc_RNA from 1 species